rnacentral:rRNA from 1 species
UAGGGAAUCUUCGGCAAUGGACGAAAGUCUGACCGAGCAACGCCGCGUGAGUGAAGAAGGUUUUCGGAUCGUAAAACUCUGUUGUUAGAGAAGAACAAGGACGUUAGUAACUGAACGUCCCCUGACGGUAUCUAACCAGAAAGCCACGGCUAACUACGUGCCAGCAGCCGCGGUAAUACGUAGGUGGCAAGCGUUGUCCGGAUUUAUUGGGCGUAAAGCGAGCGCAGGCGGUUUCUUAAGUCUGAUGUGAAAGCCCCCGGCUCAACCGGGGAGGGUCAUUGGAAACUGGGAGACUUGAGUGCAGAAGAGGAGAGUUGAAUUCCAUGUGUGGCGGUGAAAUGCGUAGAUAUAUGGAGGACCACCAGUGGCGAAGGCGGCUCUCUGGUCUGUAACUGACGCUGAGGCUCGAAAGCGUGGGGAGCAAACAGG